CCUACGGGCGGCAGCAGUGGGGAAUAUUGGACAAUGGGGGCAACCCUGAUCCAGCCAUGCCGCGUGUGUGAAGAAGGCCCUCGGGUUGUAAAGCACUUUCAGUGAGGAAGAACGCCUGGUGGUUAAUACCCAUCAGGAAAGACAUCACUCACAGAAGAAGCACCGGCUAACUCCGUGCCAGCAGCCGCGGUAAUACGGAGGGUGCGAGCGUUAAUCGGAAUUACUGGGCGUAAAGCGCGCGUAGGUGGCUUGAUAAGCCGGUCGUGAAAGCCCCGGGCUCAACCUGGGAACGGCAUCCGGAACUGUCAAGCUAGAGUGCAGGAGAGGAAGGUAGAACUCCCGGUGUAGCGGUGAAAUGCGUAGAGAUCGGGAGGAAUACCAGUGGCGAAGGCGGCCUUCUGGACUGACACUGACACUGAGGUGCGAAAGCGUGGGUAGCAAACAGGAUUAGAUACCCCUGUAGUC
rnacentral:rRNA from 1 species